AUUGAACGCUGGCGGCAGGCCUAACACAUGCAAGUCGAACGAGUGGCGGACGGGUGAGUAAUGUCUGGGAAACUGCCUGAUGGAGGGGGCUAACUACUGGAAACGGUAGCUAAUACCGCAUACCAUCAGAUGUGUCCAGAUGGGAUUAGCUAGUUGGUGGGGUAACGGCUCACCAAGGCGACGAUCCCUAGCUGGUCUGAGAGGAUGACCGGCCACACUGGAACUGAGACACGGUCCAAACUCCUACGGGAGGCAGCAGUGGGGAAUAUUGCACAAUGGGCGCAAGCCUGAUGCAGCCAUGCCGCGUGUGUGAAGAAGGCUUUCGGAUUGUAAAGUACUGUCAGCGGGGAGGCGUUACCCGCAGAGAAAGCACCGGCUAACUCCGUGCCAGCAGCCGCGGUAAUUC
rnacentral:rRNA from 1 species